rnacentral:pre_miRNA from 11 species
CAACUGUGCAUUGUAGUUGCAUUGCAUGAAAUAUAACUAUGCAAUACUUCUACAGUGCAACUCUUG